UUUCUUCUCUCUAAAAUGGCGAUAAUAAUAGUACCUACCUCACAGAGUUGCUGCAAGGAUUAAAUGAAUUAGUACACGUAAAACACUUAUCAGAUGGUAGGCAAUUAUCAUUAUUGUCCUUCAUAUUUUUAUUGACAAGAACAGUGCUUAAACUAAGCAGGCACACAGCAGGUGUUUUUUGAAUAAAUAAAUGAAUAAAGGAGAGAAAAUGUACAUGAUGGUUCUUUCUAACAGAUUCCAAAGUCAAAGAUAGACCGUCCUCUCACCCAUAGUUUUCCCACAGCAAUUAAUAUGAGGUUUAUAAUAGGUGAUCAAUAAAUAUUUGUGGAGCGUGCUUUAUAAAUAUUAAUCCAGUGACUGGCAGAUUGAGAAGGAUAAAAAUAAUAAAGAUGCAAUGAAUUAGGCUCAUAUCAAAUAAAUGGUGAUGGCAGAUUUGACAUGAAGGUUGUGAGACACAUUUCUCUCUUGUUUUAAAGCUCCCCGUUGGGAAGAUUAUUAAACUUGCAUGCUUGGCUUUCUCCAGACUCUAGUUCUGUAAUAACAUGGCGGCUACCAACUGGGGUCACGGAGGGAGCCAGGGCCACGCAGCAGGAGAAUCCUGACACUGAGAGUCUCUCGCCUCCAAAGGGCAGAUGUGGACCCUGGACCCUGCCUCUGGGGAAGGUGAAGCGAGCCAUGCAACAGCUCUGCAGGAGACCUGGCCAAUCGGGACUCUGCAGCCCCGAGGAAGGCUGCCACCGCACUGAGGCUUUGGCUGAGAAAAGUGAAUCAACUGAGGAUUGCGAAAAAGCAGAUUAAAAAAAAAAGCCCUUUUUGGCAGAUUGUACAGGCAGAAUCUAUUGAUGCUUUUAUCCUUAAAGAUGACUUGAUUUCCAUCCCCAGCACAUGGUUGUGCCAUGGAUCAAUAUUUGCUGGAGAUCUGUUCCAAUUAAAAUGUGAGAGAAAAACUUUUAUCUGUCUCCGCCAGUCUUUCUUCAUAUUUUGAUGAUUGACUCAUCUCAAAGAUGGAGAGUUAAGUACAAUUUAAGCCACUGCCACCACCAACAUCAAGCAAACAAACAAGCGUGAAGUCAGAAGCCCUGUGGCCCAGCCCUAAAGUCUGCUGCCUUGCUAAGGACUAAGUCACAUCCCCCCAAACCUCAGCUUAUUCGCCUACACAACAGGGUUGAUAACCCCUGUCUUGGAAACUUCUUAGGAGGCUCAAUGAGAUGCCGUGAAGAGGCAAUUGGAAACUACAUGUACAUCACCUCAUAUUUUUGCCCAUAGAUCAUUCAAGCAUCUGUCCUUUGCCCUAGAGGAAGACCAUUCCCAACCUACACUACCAACAAGUUCUAGAAGUCAACAAGUUUGAAAUGUUGUUCCCACGAGGGCCUCUCAGAACAGCAGUCCACUUGCCCUGCUGGGUGUAUGUUGCCCAAUCCUGACCCCAUUUAGGCAUCAAUUCAAUCAUUCUCAAUUAAGAUCGUCUGCCUGAACAUUGGAGUUAAGAGUAGAAUAAUCACACUUAGCCAGUUUUUUAAAUUCUUUUUACAAGAAAAUUUAUUUUAAAAUUAUUUUGGGUCAAGUUUAUUGAGGAUAAUUUACAUAUACUAAAAUUCACUCUUUUUAGUAUACAGAUCUAUGAGUUUGAACAAACAUAUAAUCUUGUGUGACCACCAUGAGGAUCAACAUAUGGAACAUUUCUGUCACCUCCAGAAAUGCCCCUGCUCCCUUUUGUGGUCAACCUCUUUCCCUUUUCCAGCACCUGGCAACCAUUAGUUGGUUUUCUGUCUCUAUAGUUUUGCCUUUUCCAGAAUGUCAUGAAAAUGCAAGCAUAGGGCGUAUAGCCUUUUGGGUCUGGCUUCCUUCACUCAGCAUAACACAUUCGGGAUUCAUCCAUGUCGUUACAUGUGUCAAUAGUUUGUUCCUUUUUAUUGCUGAGUAGUAAGUAGUCCAAUGCGUGGAUGUACUGCAGUUUCUAUAUCCAUUCAUCAGUUGAAAGACAUUGAGAUGUUUCCAUUUUUUUGGUGAUCAUAAAUAAAGCUAUAAACAUUUGUGGAAACUGUUUCAUAUGUAUAUACAUUUUCAUUAGACGUUUGGUUUUAAGAGACAUAUUUUAGUUCUAGAUGAACAAUCAGAGACUGAAAGAUUUGGGGACCCCUGGGGAGAGGAGAGAGUAUGUUUCCUUUAGCAGUCAGUCAGGCCCAGACCUGUCAGUUAAACAUGGGCUAGUUGGAGCAAGAGACUGUUAUUAUUUUCACUGAGGAUAUUUUUCAAAUAGAAAUUAAAAUUAACUCUACUUUUCUGAGCCCCUGGGGAAGAAUGUAAGUACAUGAUGGCGACCAUCAAUUUAGGGGGCC